ensembl:snRNA U1 U1 spliceosomal RNA
AAGCCUAGCACGGAAGAUACCAUGAUCACAAAAAUGGUUUUCCCAGGGCGAGGCUUAUCCACUGCACUCAGGAUGUGCUGACCCCUGCGAUUUCCCCAAAUGUGGGAAACUUGACUGUGUAAUUUGUGGUAGUGGGGGACUGCAUUUGACCUCUCCCAUG